rnacentral:tRNA from 1 species
AAGUAAGAAGCAAAAUUUGCAAUCAGUUUCGACCUGAUCUUUGAUAAUACAUUAUCCUUAUUUA